CGGGGGAGGAGCCGCGGCCUCCGCUCUGCGCUGGGGAGGCCGCGGCUGCGGCCGUGUGGCCAGGUCUGGGCUCCCCAGCUCAGCAGAGACGGGCAGCGGCUGCGGAGAGGCCAGCGAGGGCUCCCAGGGUGCUCAGGGGAUGGGACGUGUGAGGAGGAAAGGCUGCGGGCCUGGGGCUGCUCAGCCUGAGCUCAGGGGCACCUCAGCAGCGCUCACAUGAGCAGGCGCCGGUUCUGUCAGACUGCACCGUCUGAAACCUGCGGCAGCUGCCGCCCCACCGUGUAUCGGCAGCCGGGAGCAAGGCAAGGGGCUGGGGGCUGGGCCUCUGUCCGAGGGUGGGCUGGAGCAGAGCUGUCGGGCUGGAGCAGAGCUGUUGGGCUGUUGGACUGGCUCCCUAAACGAGGACAAACCACAGAAGCAAUUUAACAACCCUGAGUCACUCCUAAAGCCCAUCCAUCAACAGUAGUGCUUCAAAGGGCCUUUUUUGUCCUUUGCUGCGUAGAACAAGGAAAUAAAAAGCAGAAAUGGCUGCUGAUUUCUUGCCUUGAACACCUCAUUAAUGUUAGAUCUGCCUUUAACUUUUCAUCCUGUUUAAGAUGAAAGUGUUGUAGCUGCAGGUUCCAUAUUCACAGGUUUGUUACCACUGGCUGUUCCUUGGAGGUUUCAGGAUUUCCUCCUCACAAACACCACAGGGAAGUGAUCACCAACUCAACCCCCCCUUUAACUCCCAGGGAGAUCUGGAUGUGCCCAAGUGAGUCAUUACAAACUUUACAGCUUGUGUCUUUGUUUUGGUUUUCGUUUUGCAACUCACAAGGAUCCUGUUUGGUAACCAGAGCAGCAGCUGAGUUCACAUCAAGGCUGUUAAAUUAACUUGGUAAUCACGACUGAUAACAGGAUGGGAACGAUGAUGCAGCAUUAUUGGUUCAAACCUUGAGGUUGCUUCACACACAACACCCUCAUCUGCCACCUCCCCAUCCCUCAGCCUGGGCCCUGCUCCCGGCUCCAGCUCUGAGCACAAACACACGUUGCAUUUCUCCUGCAGUCCGGGAGCACAUUCGAGGCGAUCAGCGGAGUGAGCGCUUGGGUGGUGACAGCAGGAGGUGACCGACCCCUCCCGGCUCCCUGUUCUGCAGCCCGGUCCCGCCCGGCGGCCGGAGUUCCAUCGGUGCAUCUCGUGUCUGGCCAGCAGAGGGAAGCAGAAAGAUACGUUCCAAACCAAAUUGCCUUGCCAGCCUUAGCUCUCCCGGGCGGCUGCUCGAGUCCAGCCAAAGCUCACAGGUGCCAAGGGCCUCCUGGGCUUUCUGGAUCCAGCUUCCAAGGUGCUUCCUCAGCUGGUGGAAGGAGGGAGCCCGUGGCCCUGCUGUCUGGUGACCACAUGGCAAUAGCAGAACCCGGGAGAUUUGGGGGCACUGGGCAUGUAAAGCAGGUCACUACAACAUCAACCCUUCCCUCACCCAGGAGCCUCCCAAGGGUACAGCAUCUUCCUCCAGGACACAGACCUGCUGCAGAUUUACUCCAGAGCCUGUCAGCCACACAAACCCUCAGAGGCAAAGACAGCUCCUGUCAGACACGUCCAGCCUGGCAGAGACACCACUGUGACAGCAACACGUGCCAGACAGCCGGGUGAUGCCACGUGUCCCUCCCUGGGCCAGCUCCUGGCUGAGGGCAGGGGGCUGCAGCGCUGCCCUGGAGGGGAGCCUGGGCCUGGAGCACUGGUCAGAGGGACCUUUAUCAGGUGAUCUCUCAGACAUUUACAAACAGUAAUUAAACACUGCACCACCCCUAUGAUUUGGAGGCAAUUCCCAAUCACCGUGGUACAGAGCAAGAAGCCAAAGCACACACGGCCUGGAAAAAGGUCCUUCCCGUCCCAGGCAGAGGCUUUAAGGAGGAGGCUGUUUAUUUUGCAUUGCCAGCAGCUGAACCCCCCUGCAGAGGAACAUACCAGGCACACAGAGUCAGAUCUGGGAGCACUGGGCUGCUGGUGGCUGCACAGCACCAGGGGACCUGCUGGGAAAAACGGGGGCGUUUGCUCAGCCCCUGCCAAGGCUGGGAGUCAGAGCUGGAAGCCAGAACUGCCCUUCCCUUGUAUCCCAUCCACUGCUGGUUUCAAAGAAAUUAAAAGGCAUGA